UCAUUUUGUAAAGGUAAUAAGAACUUGAUGUAUGGCUGUGAAGCUUGGAAACUUAAGAAAACAGAAGCAAAGAAGCUGGACGGUUUCCAAUACAAGUGCAUGAAGAGGAUUUUAAGAAUAAGGUGGCCUCAGACCAUCUCCCACCAACAAAUUCAGGAGAACACAGGAGUGAACAGAACGAGUGAUGAAAUCAGACGUAGAAGAUGAAAUUGGAUUGGACAUAUAAUGAGGAAAGACAAAGAGGAACAUUGCGUCACAGCUCUGGAAUGGAGGCCAGAAGGGGAAAGAAGGUCUGGUCGACCCAAAACAACAUGGAGGAGAAUGGUUGAAGAUGAAAGAAAAACAGCUGGGUGGCAGUCAUGGGCGAAUGUCAGAAACCUCGCAGCAAACCGUAGUGGUUGGAAAGAGAAUGUCAAAGCCUUAUGUGCCUUAUGGCAUAAAGAGAUAUAGAAUAGGAUAGGA